UCGCCAGCACCCGCGGAUCCGGCCGCCCCUCACCUUCCCCAUGGGCUGCACCUCCCAGCGCCGCCGCCCCUGCCAAGCUCCGCCGCUGGAGGAUGAAAUUCUGUCAAUGUCCAUUGUCUUCAAGUAAUUGAUUCGAGUAAUACUGUAAGGUCUGUCAAUGUAUACUAUGUCUUCAAGUAAUCAAUGUUGCUAGAAUACUUACUGUCUGUCAGGCCUGCAUCUUCAGUUAGCAUAGGAACCCCUUCUUCAGUUAUCGUCCGGCCCAGAUUCAUCCUCGUCCUGACGAUCCGACGGCUCGUGAUGCUCACCGUCUCACUGUACCGUUUCGGUUGUAAUCCCGUAGCGUUUCAUUCACGCCACUGUAGCCGUCACCCUGUGCUAGCUGGGUUAUAAAGCUCGCUCCCAACGUCUUGUAAGCCAUCGAUUAUUGCCUAGGCCAAUUUAUAAAUCAAACAUAUAUCUUACAGUAAUACUACAACCCUAGCGGGCGCCUACUUUCCCCUCCUGAUUUCGUGAUCUAGAUCGAAUCCACCAUAGUUUCUCACAUCAGGGUGUGACAAUUGGUAUCAUGAGCGUAGGUUUUCCUCGACGUCGCAGCAGAUCAAGGCCGCGGCGGUGAUUUCCCACCCUUUCCUCCCUCUUUCAUCGAUGGCGACGGUAUCGGUGGCGUUGGCGGCGGUGACGGCGGCGCUGGUGGCGGUAGACCAAUUCGUUGGCAGCGCGUUAAGCUUGACUGGUUGUUUGAGCAAAUGGCUCACUCGAUAAAAUCCCAGAUCGGCGGCGUGCGGUGCUGUUCUGUUGAUGAUCUCGAGCAGCGGCGGCAGGGUGAGUAUUCAGAUCUGGUUUCCGGGCAAGUCUCGAAGGUAAAAUUCCUUUCUGAAGCACUCAGCUGCGAUGGGGCGCGGCAAGGCCAGUCUUGACGAGUCGGAAAUCGCCGAACUCCUUGCCAUGAAGGGCGAGUUCCUGCAGCACCGUGACGAAACUGCGGAGCUGCGUGGUGAAGUCGAUGAUCUCCGGAAGGACGUGUACGGCAUCGGCCUCAAACAGGACAACAUGGUGUCGGUGAUGGAUGGGGUCCAAAAAGUUGUCUCCUCGUUGAACACUUAGCUCACAACCAUGGCAGAUGUACUCAAAGCAUUGUCGGCUCCGGGGGCCUCGACAUCUUCACCUCUGGGCCAACCAGUUCCGGAUGACAGAGGACAGGCCACUCACUGAAGAACUCCGAAAAAGACUGGCCAUGGAACAGGAAAAAACCCGACAGGUAGCGUCCCAAAUCCCUUCUCACCUGGCACCCAUUCAAGUGCCUAGACACUCACCUCCCCCAGGGUUCGGAACUAACCAGACUCUAGAGAUCCACUCGGCCAAUGGAACACCAACAGCAGCAUACAAGACCGCCCGAACUCCUGGAUUUCAUGGAUUUCAGCCACCAGGUGUUCGUCAGAGUUGGGAUGACUUUCAGAAACAGUAUGAGCAAGACAUGCGCACCCAGUUCCUCAAGAGCAUCACAGAAGGACCACGUAUGGAUUUUCCUCGAUUCGAUGGCGACAAUCCAUCGGGCUGGAUACGACAGUGUGAAAAGUACUUCCAAAUGGCCGGCGCUCCAGUGGAGUACAGAGUUAACUUGGCACAAUUAUAUGUUGUGGGCAGAGCGGAUGUGUGGCUAUGCCGAUCGGGCAUCCUCAAGAAGCAACCAACAUGGGCACAAUUCACUGAAGAAAUCAUGCGCCGUUUCUCCUCUGCUAGUUCUUACGAACUAACCGAAAGGUUCAACAACCUGAAGCAAGGCACCUCGUCAGUGUCUGACUACACUGACCAGUUUGAGGAACUGAUGGCUGAAAUUCAAACUGAUAAUCCAAUAAUGGACGAACAGUGGUUUGUCAAAUGCUAUGUCAAUGGGCUCCGUUCACAGAUCAAGUUUCAGCUCAGAUCUCUGAGACCUACCAACCUCACAGAAGCCUAUUGGCUGGCCGUGGAUAUGGAGAAAGGCACAGCUGAAAAGAAAGCACUUCAAACCCACACUAGCACCAGUAAAGGCUAUCCUGGUUUUCACAAAACCUAUAGCCCAGCAACUGAAAAAGCUGCAGAUCCCAAACCAACUGUAGUGAACCAAAGAGCCAGAGAACCUGGCAAGUGCUGGAGAUGUGGGGAUGCUUAGUUCCACGGACAUAAGUGCAAACUUGCUCCUGCACUGAAUGUUUUAACAGGUGACGAGCCUAUUGAACAACAGAAGGAACCAGAUGAGUUGGAGGAACAAGACGAAACAGAACAGCCCCAGACUGAAGAACAAUGUAUGACCAUAUCUGCUCAAGCCAUGCAUUCAGAUAAUGUGAACACCAUUUCUAUUCUGGUGCAAAUAGGGGGCAAACAGGGCAUUGCUCUAGUGGACUCAGGCAGUAACUCCACUUUUAUAAGCCUAAAAUUUGCUCUGACAACCUCUUGCAACAUACUCAAGGACACUAACCGUGCUGUUACAGUUGCUAGAGGGGGAACAAUGUGGUCUGGCUCCUAUAUACCCCCAACCACUUUCAUUGCAGGCCACACCAAAUUCAUUCAGCAAUUUAGAGUGUUGGAUCUAACUGGACAUGAUAUGGUGUUAGGCAGUGACUGGAUGGCACAACACAGCCCGGUGGCUUUCCACUACAACCCCAGACAAAUCACAAUCAUGCAGAACAAGAGCAUUCCUGUUACAAUCAGAGCUUGUGACACUCUGUCUGACGCCACUAUAAUUGAAGCUGCAGAAGUGGACAAUUUACUAUCGUCAGGAGCUCCUGGUUUUGUAUUGCAACUUAUCAGGGACACCACUAUAACCAAACCUGAGAAACAAGAACUUCCACAACCUAUAGAAGAAGUUUUGCAGAAAUUCCCUGAAGUUUUUCAAGAGCCAAAAGGCCUGCCCCCCAAAAGAUCUCAUGAUCACAAAAUACCACUCAAAGAAAAAGCAAAACCUCCAAAUUCUAGGCCCUAUAGAGUACCUCACAUGCAGAAGAAUGAGUUGGAAAGGCAAAUUGAUGCAAUGCUCAGAGAUAAAAUAAUCAGGGCUAGUGAAAGUCCCUACUCCUCCCCAGCAAUCUUAGUCAUGAAAAAAGAUGGCACUUGGAGGAUGUGCAUUGACUAUAGGAAGCUCAAUGAGGCCACAGUGAAAAACAAGUUUCCCAUCCCUAUAAUUGAAGACUUACUGGAUGAAUUACAUGGAGCAACUUAUUUCACUAAAUUGGAUCUCAGGUCUGGUUACCAUCAAGUGAGAAUGGAUGAAAAAGAUAUACCUAAGACUGCAUUCAGAACAUAUUUUGGGCAUUAUGAGUUCCUAGUGAUGCCAUUUGGGCUGGCUAAUGCACCUGGUACAUUCCAAGCCCUCAUGAACAGUAUCUUUGGCCCAUACCUGAGGAAGUUUGUACUAGUUUUCUUUGAUGACAUUUUGAUAUUCAGUAAAUCACUAUCAGAACACAUUGAACACCUCCAGAUAGUGUUACAGCUUCUCAAAGAACAUCAACUAUAUGCCAAACUCUCCAAGUGUACUUUUGCAGUUACACAAGUAGACUACUUGGGCCAUGUUAUUUCUGCUAAAGGAGUUUCUACUGAUCCCUCUAAAGUGGCAGCAGUGGUGGAGUGGCCUAUUCCCACCACACCCAAACAACUCAGAGGAUUCUUGGGCCUCUGUGGAUACUAUAGAAGAUUUGUUCAGCAUUUUGGAACAAUAGCUAGGCCUUUGCUGUUGGGGAACGUAGUAAUUUCAAAAAAAUUCCUACGCACACGCAAGAACAUGGUGAUGGCAUAGCAACGAGAGGGGAGAGUGAUGUCCACGUACCCUCGUAGACAGCAAACGGAAGCAUUAACACAACGCGGUUGAUGUAGUCAUACGUCUUCACGAUCCGACCGAUCCAAGUACCGAACGUACGGCACCUCCGAGUUCAGCACACGGUUCAGCUCGAUGACGAUCCCCGGGCUCCGAUCCAGCAAAGCUUCGGGGAUGAGUUCCGUCAGCACAACGGCGUGGUGACGAUGAUGAUGUUCUACCGGUGCAGGGCUUCGCCUAAACUCCGCGACGAUAUGACCGAGGUGGAAUAUGAUGGAGGGGGGCACCGCACACGGCUAAGGAACAAUCCGUAGAUCAACUUGUGUGUUAUGGGGUGCCCCCCUGCCCCCGUAUAUAAAGGAGCAAGGGGGAGGGGGCGGCCGGCCAAGGGAGGGCGCGCCAGGGAGGAGUCUACUCCCACCGGGAGUAGGACUCCCUCCUUUCCUAGUCCAACUAGGAGACCUUCCAUGUAGUAGGAGUAGGAGAGAAGGAAAGGGAAGAGAGAAGGGAAGGAAGGAGGGGGUGCGGCCCCUCCCCCUAGUCCAAUUCGGACUAGGCCUUAGGGGGCGCGCGGCCUGCCCUAGGCAGCCCCUCUCUCUUUCCCGUAUGGCCCAAUAAGGCCCAAUACUUCUCCCGGCGAAUUCCCGUAACUCUGCGGUACUCCGAAAAAUACCCGAAUCACUCGGAACCUUUCCGAACUCCGAAUAUAGUUGUCCAAUAUAUCGAUCUUUACGUCUCAACCAUUUCGAGACUCCUCGUCAUGUCCCCGAUCUCAUCCGGGACUCCGAACUCCUUCGGUACAUCAAGACUUAUAAACUCAUAAUAAAACUGUCAUCGUAACGUUAAGCGUGCGGACCCUACGGGUUCGAGAACUAUGUAGACAUGACCUAGAACUAUUCUCGGUCAAUAACCAAUAGCGGAAUCUGGAUGCCCAUAUUGGUUCCUACAUAUUCUACGAAGAUCUUUAUCGGUCAAACCGCAUAACAACAUACGUUGUUCCCUUUGUCAUCGGUAUGUUACUUGCCCGAGAUUUGAUCGUCGGUAUCCAAUACCUAGUUCAAUCUCGUUACCGGCAAGUCUCUUUACUCGUUCCGUAAUGCAUCAUUCUGUAACCAACUCAUUUGGUCACAUUGCUUGCAAGGCUUAUAAAGAUGUGCAUUACCGAGAGGGCCCAAAGAUACCUCUCCGACAAUCGGAGUGACAAAACCUAAUCUCGAAAUAUGCCAACUCAACAUGUACCUUCGGAGACACCUAUAGUACUCCUUUAUAAUCACCCAGUUACGUUGUGAUGUUUGGUAGUACCCAAAGUGUUCCUCCGAUAAACGGGAGUUGCAUAAUUCUCAUAGUUACAGGAACAUGUAUAAGUCAUGAAGAAAGCAAUAGCAAUAUACUAAACGAUCAAGUGUUAGGCUAACGGAAUGGGUCAUGUCAAUCACAUCAUUCUCCUAAUGAUGUGAUCCCAUUAAUCAAAUGACAACACAUGUCUAUGGUUAGGAAACAUAACCAUCUUUGAUUAAUGAGCUAGUCAAGUAGAGGCAUACUAGUGACUGUAUGUUUGUCUAUGUAUUCACACAUGUAUCAUGUUUCCGGUUAAUACAAUUCUAGCAUGAAUAAUAAACAUUUAUCAUGAAAUAAGGAAAUAAAUAAUAACUUUAUUAUUGCCUCUAGGGCAUAUUUCCUUCAGUCUCCCACUUGCACUAGAGUCAAUAAUCUAGUUCACAUCGCUAUAUGAUUUAACACCAAUAUUCACAUCUGCAUGUGAUUAAUACCCAUAGUUCACAUCAUCAUGUGAUCAACACCAGGGUUUACUAGAGUCAAUAAUCUAGUUCACAUCGCUAUGUGAUUAACACCCAAAAGGUUUACUAGAGUCAAUAAUCUAGUUCACAUCGCUAUGUGAUUAACACCCAAAGGGUUUACUAGAGUCAAUAAUCUAGUUCACAUCGCUAUGUGAUUAACACCAAUAUUCACAUCUGCAUGUGAUUAAUACCCAUAGUUCACAUCAUCAUGUGAUCAACACCCAAAGGGUUUACUAGAGUCAAUAAUCUAGUUCACAUCGCUAUGUGAUUAACACCCAAAGGGUUUACUAGAGUCAAUAAUCUAGUUCACAUCGCUAUGUGAUUAACACCCAAAAGAGUACUAAGGUAUGAUCAUGUUUUGCUCGUGAGAGAAGCUUAGUCAACGGGUCUGUCAUAUUCAGAGCCGUAUGUAUUUCGCAAAUAUUCUAUGUCUAUAAUGCUCUGCACGGAGCUACUCUAGCUAAUUGCUCCCACUUUCAAUAUGUAUCCAGAUUGCGACUUAGAGUCAUCUGGAUCGGUGUAAAAGUUUGCACCGAUGUAACUUUUACGACGAGCUCUUUUAUCACCUCCAUAAUCGAGAAACAUCUCCUUAGUCCUCACUAAGGAUAUUCUUGACCGUUGUCCAGUAAUCUACUAUUAGAUCACUAUUGUAAUCCCUUGCCAAACCAGGGCAGAGUAUACAAUAGGUCUGGUCCACAGCAUGGCAUACUUUUAUAGAACCUAUGAUUGAAGCAUAGGGAAUGACUUUCAUUCUCUUUCUAUUUUCUGCCGUGGUCGAGAGUUGAGUCUUACUCAAUUUCAUACCUUUGCAACACAGGCAAGAACUCUUUCUUUGACUGUUCCAUUUUGAACUAUUUCAAAAUCUUGACAAGGUAUGUCCUUAUUGAAAAACUUAUCAAGCGUCUUGAUCUAUCUCAAUAGAUCUUGAUGCUCAAUAUGUAAGCAGCUUCACCGAGGUCUUUCAUUGAAAAACUUUUAUUCAAGUAUCCCUUUAUGCUAUCCAGAAAUUCUAUAUCAUUUCCAAUUAAUAAUAUGUCAUCUACAUAUAAUAUCAGAAAUGCUACAGAGCUCCCACUCACUCUCUUGUAAAUACAGGCUUCUUCAAAAGUCUGUAUAAAACCAUAUGCUUUGAUCAACUCAUCAAAGCGUAUAUUCCAACUCCGAGAUGCUUGCACCAGUCCAUUGAUGGAUUGCUGGAGCUUGCACACUUUGUUAGCAUCUUUAGGAUUGACAAAAACUUUCUGGUUGCAUCAUAUACAACUCUUCUUUAAUAAAUCCAUUACGGAAUGCAGUUUUGACAUCCAUUUGCCAGAUUUCAUAAAAUGUGGCAAUUGCUAACAUGAUUCAGACAGACUUAAGCAUCGCUGCAGUUGAGAAAAUCUCAUUGUAGUCAACACCUUGAACUUGUCGAAAAAACCUUUCACAACAAGUCGAGCUUUGUAGAUAGUAACACUACUAUCAGUGUCCGUCUUCCUCUUGAAGAUCCAUUUAUUUAACUUGACUUGCUGAUCAUCGAGAAAGUCAACCAAAGUCCACACUUUGUUCUCAUAUAUGGAUCCUAUCUCAGACUUUAUGGCCUCAAGCCAUUUCGCGGAAUCUGGGCUCAUCACGGCUUCCUCAUAGUUCGUAGGUUCAUCAUGGUCUAGUAACAUGACUUCCAGAACAGAAUUACUGUACCACUCUGGUGCGGAUCUUUCUCUGGAAGACCUACGAGGUUUUGUAGCAACUUGAUCUGAAGUUUCAUGAUCAUCAUCAUUAGCUUCCUCGCUAAUUGGUGUAGCAAUCACUGGAACUAAUUUCUGUGAUGAACUACUUUCCAAUAAGGGAGAAGGUACAAUUACCUCAUCAAGUUCUACUUUCCUCCCACUCACUUCUUUCGAGAGAAACUCCUUCUCUAGAAAAGAUCCAUUCUUAGCAACGAAUGUUUUGCCUUCGGAUCUGUGAUAGAAGGUGUACCCAACAGUUCCCUUUGGGUAUUCUAUGAAGACGCACUUCUCCGAUUUGGGUUCGAGCUUAUCAGGUUGAAAACCUUUUUCAUAUAAGCAUCGCAACUCCAAAUUUUAAGAAAUGACAGCUUAGGUUUACUGCUAAACCAUAGUUCAUACGGUGUCGUCUCAACGGAUUUAGAUGGUGCCCUUUUAACGUGAAUGCAGCUGUCUCUAAUGCAUAACCCCAAAACAAUAGUGGUAAAUCAGUAAGAGACAUCAUAGAUCGCACCAUAUCCAAUAAAGUGCGGUUACGACGUUCGGACACACCAUAACGUUGUGGUGUUCCAGGUGGCAUGAGUUUGUGAAACUAUUCCACAUUGUUUUAAUUAAAGACCAAACUCGUAACUCAAAUAUUUGUCUCCGUGAUCAAAUUGCAGAAACUUUAUUUUCUUUUUACGAUGAUUCUCCACUUCACUCUGAAAUUCUUUGAACUUUUCAAAUGUUUCAGACUUGUGCUUCAUUAAGUAGAUAUACUCAUAUCUACUCAAUUCAUCUUGUGAAGGUCAGAAAAUAACGAUACCCGCCACGAGCACCAACACUCAUUGGACCGCAUACAUCGGUAUGUAUUAUUUCCAAUAAGUCACUAGCUCGUUCCAUUGUUCUGGAGAACGGAGUUUUUAGUCAUCUUGCCCAAAAGGCACGGUUCGCAAGCAUCAAAUGAUUCAUAACCAAGUGAUUCCGAAAAUCCAUCUUUAUGGAGUUUCUUCAUGCGCUUUACACCGAUAUGACCCAAACGGCAGUGCCACAAAUAAGUUGUACUAUCAUUAUUAACUUUUCAUCUUUUGGCAUCAAUAUUAUGAAUAUGUGUAUCACUACGAUCGAGAUGCAACAAACUAUGUUCAUUGGGUGUAUGACCAUCGAAGGUCUUAUUCAUGUAAACAGAACAACAAUUAUUCUCUGACUUUAAAUGAAUAACCGUAUUGCAAUAAACAUGAUCAAAUCAUAUUCAUGCUCAACGCAAACACCAAAUAACAUUUAUUUAGGUUCUACACUAAUCUCGAAAGUAUAGGGAGUGUGCGAUGAUGAUCAUAUCAAUCUUGGAACUACUUCCAACACUCAUCGUCACUUCCCCCUCAACUAGUUUCUGUUUAUUCUGUAACUCCUGUUUCGAGUCACUAAUAUUUAGCAACCGAACAAGUAUCAAAUACUCAGGGGCUACUAUAAACACUAGUAAGGUACACAUCAAUAACCUGUAUAUCAAAUAUACCCUUGUUCACUUUGCCAUCCUUCUUAUCCACCAAAUAUUCGGGGUAUUUCCGUUUCCAGUGACCAUUUCCUUUGCAGUGUAAGCACUCAGUUUCAGGCUUUGGUUCAGCUUUGGGUUUCUUCGUGGGAGUGACAACUUGCUUGUCAUUCUACUUGAAGUUCCCCGUUCUUUCCCUUUGCCCUUUUCUUGAAACUAGUGAUCUUGUCAACCAUCAACACUUGAUGCUCUUUCUUGAUUUCUACCUUCGUUGAUUUCAACAUCACGAAGAGCUCGGGAAUCGUUUUCGUCAUCCCUUGCAUACUAUAGUUCAUCACAAAGUUCUACUAACUUGGUGAUGGUGACUAGAGAAUUCUGUCAAUCACUAUCUUAUCUGGAAGAUUAACUCCGACUUGAUUCAAGCGAUUGUAGUACCCAGACAAUCUGAGCACAUGCUCACUAGUUGAGCGAUUCUCCUCCAUCUUUUAGCCAUAGAACUUGUUGGAGACUUCAUAUCUCUCAACUCAGGUAUUUGCUCGAAAUAUUAACAUCAACUCCUGGAACAUCUCAUAUGGUCCAUGACGUUCAAAACGUCUUUGAAGUCCCGAUUGUAAGCCGUUAAGCAUGGUGCACUAAACUAUCAAGUAGUCAUCAUAUUGAGCUAGCCAAACGUUCAUAACGUCUGCAUCUGCUCCUGCAAUAGGUCUGUCACCUAGCGGUGCAUUAAGGACAUAAUUCUUCUGUGCAGCAAUGAGGAUAAACCUCAGAUCACGGAUCAAAUCCGCAUCAUUGCUACUCACAUCUUUCAACACAAUUUUCUCUAGGAACAUAUCAAAAUAAACAUAUGAAAGCAACAACGCAAGCUAUUGAUCUACAACAUAAUUUGCAAAAUACUGCCAGGACUAAGUUCAUGAUAAAUUAAAGUUCAAUUAAUCAUAUUACUUAAGAACUCCCACUUAGAUAGACAUCCCUCUAAUCUUCUAAGUGAUCACGUGAUCCAAAUCAACUAAACCAUGUCCGAUCAUCACGUGAGAUGGAGUAGUUUCAAUGGUGAACAUCACUAUGUUGAUCAUAUCUACUAUAUGAUUCACGCUCGACCUUUCGGUCUCCGUGUUCCGAGGCCAUAUCUGUAUAUGCUAGGCUCGUCAAGUAUGACCUGAGUAUUCCGCGUGUGCAACUGUUUUGCACCCGUUGUAUUUGAACGUAGAGCCUAUCACACCCGACCAUCACGUGGUGUCUCAGCACGAAGAACUUUCGCAACGGUGCAUACUCAAGGAGAACACUUCUUGAUUAUUAAGUGAGAGAUCAUCUUAAAAUGCUACCGUCAAUCAAAGCAAGAUAAGAUGCAUAAAGGAUAAACAUCACAUGCAAUCAAUAUAAGUGAUAUGAUAUGGCCAUCAUCAUCUUGUGCUUGUGAUCUCCAUCUUCGAAGCACCGUCGUGAUCACCAUCGUCACCGGCGCGACACCUUGAUCUCCAUCGUAGCAUCGUUGUCGUUACGCCAUCUAUUUCUUCUACGACUAUCGCUACCACUUAGUGAUAAAGUAAAGCAAUUACAGGGCGUUUGCAUUUCAUACAAUAAAGCGACAACCAUAUGGCUCCUGUCAGUUGCCGAUAACUUCAGUUACAAAACAUGAUCAUCUCAUACAAUAAAAUAUAGCAUCACGUCUUGACCAUAUCACAUCACAACAUGCCCUGCAAAAACAAGUUAGACGUCCUCUACUUUGUUGUUGCAAAUUUUACGUGGCUGCUACGGGCUUUAGCAAGAACCGUUCUUACCUACGCAUCAAAACCACAACGAUAGUUUGUCAAGUUGGUGCUGUUUUAACCUUCGCAAGGACCGGGCGUAGCCACACUAGGUUCAACUAAAGUGAGAGAGACAGACACCCGCCGGUCACCUUUAAGCAACGAGUGCUCACAGCGGUGAAACCAGUCUCGCGUAAGCGUACGCGUAAUGUCGGUCCGGGCCGCUUCAUCUCACAAUACCGCCGAACCAAAGUAUGACAUGCUGGUAAGCAGUAUGACUUGUAUCGCCCACAACUCACUUGUGUUCUACUCGUGCAUAUAACAUCAACGCAUAAAACCUGGCUCUAAUACCACUGUUGGGGAACGUAGUAAUUUCAAAAAAUUUCAUACGCACACGCAAGAACAUGGUGAUGGCAUAGCAACGAGAGGGGAGAGUGAUGUCCACGUACCCUCGUAGACCGCAAACGGAAGCGUUAACACAAUGCGGUUGAUGUAGUCGUACGUCUUCACGAUCCGACCGAUCCAAGUACCGAACGUACGGCACCUCCGAGUUCAGCACACGUUCAGCUCGAUGACGAUCCCCGGGCUCCGAUCCAGCAAAGCUUCGGGGAUGAGUUCCGUCAGCACAAUGGCGUGGUGACGAUGAUGAUGUUCUACCGGCGCAGGGCUUCGCCUAAACUCCGCGAUGAUAUGACCGAGGUGGAAUAUGAUGGAGGGGGGCACCGCACACGGCUAAUGAACGAUCCGUAGAUCAACUUGUGUGUUAUGGGGUGCCCUCCUGCCCCCGUAUAUAAAGGAGCAAGGGGGAGGGGGCGGCCGGCCAAGGGAGGGCGCGCCAGGGAGGAGUCCUACUCCCACCGGGAGUAGGACUCCCUCCUUUCCUAGUCCAACUAGGAGACCUUCCAUGUAGUAGGAGUAGGAGAGAAGGAAAGGGAAGAGAGAAGGGAAGGAAGGAGGGGGUGCGGCCCCUCCCCCUAGUCCAAUUCGGACUAGGCCUUGGGGGGGCGCGCGGCCUGCCCUAGGCAGCCCCUCUCUCUUUCCCGUAUGGCCCAAUAAGGCCCAAUACUUCUCCCGGCGAAUUCCCGUAACUCUCCGGUACUCCGAAAAAUACUCGAAUCACUCGAAACCUUUCCGAACUCCGAAUAUAGUCGUCCAAUAUAUCGAUCUUUACGUCUCGACCAUUUCGAGACUCCUCGUCAUGUCCCCGAUCUCAUCCGGGACUCCGAACUCCUUCGAUACAUCAAAACUCAUAAACUCAUAAUAUAACUGUCAUCGUAACGUUAAGAGUGCGGACCCUAAGGGUUCGAGAACUAUGUAGACAUGACCUAGAACUAUUCUCGGUCAAUAACCAAUAGCGGAACCUGGAUGCCCAUAUUGGUUCCUACUUAUUCUACGAAGAUCUUUAUGGGUCAAACCGCAUAACAACAUAUGUUGUUCCCUUUGUCAUCGGUAUGUUACUUGCCCGAGAUUUGAUCGUCGGUAUCCAAUACCUAGUUCAAUCUCGUUACCGGCAAGUCUCUUUACUCGUUCCGUAAUGCAUCAUUCCGUAACCAACUCAUUUGGUCACAUUGCUUGCAAGGCUUAUAAAGAUGUGCAUUACCGAGAGGGCCCAGAGAUACCUCUCCGACAGUCGGAGUGACAAAACCUAAUCUCGAAAUACGCCAACUCAACAUGUACCUUCGGAGACACCUGUAGUACUCCUUUAUAAUCACCUAGUUACGUUGUGACGUUUGGUAGUACCCAAAGUGUUCCUCCGGUAAACGGGAGUUGCAUAAUUCUCAUAGUUACAGGAACAUGUAUAAGUCAUGAAGAAAGCAAUAGCAAUAUACUAAACGAUCAAGUGCUAGGCUAACGGAAUGGGUCAUGUCAAUCACAUCAUUCUCCUAAUGAUGUGAUCCCAUUAAUCAAAUGACAACACAUGUCUAUGGUUAGGAAACAUAACCAUCUUUGAUUAAUGAGCUAGUCAAGUAGAGGCAUACUAGUGACUGUAUGUUUGUCUAUGUAUUCACACAUGUAUCAUGUUUCCGGUUAAUACAAUUCUAGUAUGAAUAAUAAACAUUUAUCAUGAAAUAAGGAAAUAAAUAAUAACUUUAUUAUUGCCUCUAGGGCAUAUUUCCUUCAUUUGCAUGAUAUCCUCAAGAAAGAUAGCUUCUCCUGGACUGAAUAACAAACUAGUGCCUUCCAACAGUUGAAACAGGCCAUGACAAAUGCCCCAGUGCUAGGCCUCCCAAAUUUUACUGAGCCUUUUGUGCUAGAAACAAAUGCUUCUGGAACUGGGAUUGGAGCAGUUAUGAUGCAGCAAGGAAAACCAAUAGCAUAUUACAGCUCCUCCCUCUGUCCAAAGAAUGCCGCCCUAUCCACUUAUGAGAAAGAAGCAUUAGCAAUCCUGGCUGCCUUAAAGAAAUGGAGGCACUACUUCCUGGGCAAUGAGCUCAUCAUAAAAACAGACCAUCAGAGCCUGUAAUUCAUGACAGAUCAGAAGGUCAACACCAGCAUACAACAUAAACUGAUGCUGCAGCUCCUUGAGUUUACCUUCACUCUGCAGUACAAAAAGGGCAAGGAAAACAGUGUGGCUGAUGCCCUCUCAACGAAACAUUCACUUAUGGCUAUUUCCCUGGUAACUCCACAGUGGAUCUCUGCAGUAGAAGAUUCAUAUGCCAAUGACAGCACUUGCAAAUCUCUCCUUGAAAAGCUCCUGCUGUCACCUGACCACUCAAUAAACGAAAACACUCUGCACUCUGGUAUUAUUCGACACAAAGGAAGAAUCUAUGUGGGCAAAGAUUUAGCUUUGAGAAAGAAAUUUCUGAAUGCACUUCAUGCCUCUGCUUUGGGAGGCCACUCAGGCAUGAAAGCUACAUAUCACAGAAUCAAGCAAAUCUUUUACUGGCCAGGCCUGAAACAAGAUGUGGACAAGUUUGUUUCUGAAUGCCCUGUCUGUCAGAAGAACAAGGGAGAGAAUUGCCCUUACCCAGGAUAUUUGGAUCCACUUCCUCUACCUGAUAUGGUUUGGACACACAUCAGCAUGGAUUUCAUUGAGGGCCUGCCUAAAUCUCAAGGCAAGGAUGUCAUUUUCGUGGUAGUUGACAGACUGUCCAAGUUUUCACACUUUAUUCCCCUGUCUCAUCCCUAUACUGCUCACACGGUGGCCACUGCAUUCAUCGACAAUGUACUGAAACUACAUGGCCCCCCACUGUCCAUUGUUUCUGACCGAGACUGCAUAUUCAUUAGUCAAGUUUGGCAAGAUAUGUUCAAGGGCAUGGGCACUGAACUGCGUUACAGUUCGGCUUACCACCCACAGUCAGAUGGUCAAACGGAACGCGUCAACCAGUGCAUUGAGAACUACCUGUGAUGCCUGACAUCAACACAACCCAAGAAGUGGGCCCAGCACCUAUCCAUGGCAGAAUACUGGUACAACACCUCGUACCAUUCUUCCCUUCAGAAAACUCCGUUUGAAGCAGCCUAUGGAUACCCACCUCCCAAUAUCUGUUAGAACAUUCUCCCGGAUAACCUGACAACCGAAGCUCAGCAGUUUUUCAAUGAUCGAGAUGCACAACUUCAACACCUGAAAACCAACUUAACUGCAGCUCAAGCACGCAUGAAGAAGUACGCAGAUUGUAAACGAACUGAAAGAGUUUUGGAAGUGGGCGACAUGGUGUAUCUCAAGAUGCAACCUUAUCGCCUGAAUGCGUUCGGUGCGCGCUCUCACAUCAAGUUACAAAGCAAGUACUACGGGCCCUUCCGUGUCACAACUAAAGUGGGGCGAGUGGCCUACAAACUCCUCUUACCUGAUGGCACCAACAUCCACCCGGUGUUUCACGUCAGCCAGCUGAAGAAGCAUAUCGGGCCCUCGGCUGUUCCGUGCGUCGAUCUUCCGCUGGUUCGAGCAGACGGUAUGAUACUGACUGAACCAGUCUUGGUUCUGGAGACUCGUCAGGUACCACGCAACAACCUGCCGGUGGUCCAGUGGCUCGUGAAAUGGGCAAACUUGCCACCCGAUGAAGCUUCCUGGGAGGACGCCACAUUCAUGAAGAAGACUUUUCCAGCGUUCUUCAAAGCGACCAUAGAUCGCUGGUUCAACAGAUCACCUUCUUGAGGACAAGUUCGGUUUCGCGCGGGAGCAUUGUCAGGCCUACAUCUUCAGUUGGCAGAGGAACCCCUUCUUCAGUUAUCGUCCGGCCCAGAUUCAUCCUCGUCCUGACGAUCCGACGGCUCGCGAUGCUCACUGUCUCACUGUACCGUUUCGGUUGUAAUCCUGUAGCGUUUCAUUCAUGCCACUGUAGCCGUCACCCUGUGCCAGCUGGGUUAUAAAGCUCGCUCCCAACGUCUUGUAAGCCAUCGAUUAUUGCUAAGGCCACUUUAUAAAUCAAACAUAUAUCUUACAGUAAUACUACAACCCUAGCGGGCGCCUACUUUCCCCUCCUGAUUUCGUGAUCUAGAUCGAAUCCACCACAGUUUCUCAAAUCAGGGUGUGACACUGUCGUGUGCACACCUUGAGAUCAUGGCCAGCACACGACUCAGGUCAUGGCUUGGUGCCUCAUAAACCUGUAUAAAUAUGCCAAAAUUGUACUGCAAGUUGCAUGGGUAGCAUUGGAGAAUCCACACGCUUGCUGUUGUCCCUCGCAGAGGUCCAGGAAAAAAAGUGUAGUGGUUCAGGAAAAACAGAGAGGAGCUGCUCUGUUAUUCAUUUAGUCAAUCUUUUGGCCUAUCUCCUUCUGUAUUAUGAUUUCCAUCUUGAGAAAAAAAAGGCAAAACAUGUAUAGCUGUAUGGUUUUUCUAUGUUUGCAAUUUCUUGUUUUGUGGAGAAUUAAAGGAUCGUGUAGGCUUGCCCUUGAAUCCAACUGUUUUUAGUUUUUUAGUGUCCAAGGAAAAUUCUUGAGACGACGGAAAUGAAUUGUACUCUCAAGAAAAGGUGGAAUACGAAUGGGAUGGAAAGCUAGAGCUACAACAGGUUGGCUGUCGAAACUCACAAAAUCCUUUUCAACAUUACAUGUUUUAUCAUUGCUAUCAAGUUUUGUUCUGGACUAUGGCUUUCUGAACAUCUUUUGCUUAAUCAGGCAGAGCAUAGUGGAGGGUCCGCUUCUACCUCACAUGACCUCUCCACCGCAUCAUAUAUGUUUUGCGGCUCUGUGGCUCCAUUAAUUGCAGUAAGGCGCUUGUGCCAUCCAUGUCUGAUUUGUGCAGCCAUCAUCUGUAGCAUUGGCUGGAGCCGUCAUCCGAAACAGUUUCACUGAUUCUCAGGUAAGCACCGUGAUUUUUCCAUGUGUUGAUUCAAUCCAGAAAAGUUAAGAUCACAAAUGCUCUUAGGAUUGAUUAAUGAAUUGAAUUACAAGAGUAUUGUCCGUCCAGACCUUUUUAGGGACCUUCUAGAAUCAAGAUUUGACACGAAACAAAUUGUUUUCUACUCCCUCCGUUCGGAAUUACUUGUCUCGGAAAUGGAUGUAUCUAGAACAUCUAGAUACAUCCAUUUCCGAGACAAGUAAUUCCGAACGGAGGGAGUAUGUUAUAUUGUCAUUGCUAACAUUGUUGAUCUCGAGCUGCAUCCUCCAUAAUAGUGACUUCAAAUCUGAGGCUGGCUAGAAGAACAUAUCUCCAUCAGCGUCGUUACCCCUCUGGAACAUUGUCAUGCUAGCCACCUGACGCUCGGCAUAUCCUCUCCCUCGUGGCAUCCAGCUUUGCUGCAGGGACCAAAAGGUGCUCCAUCACCGGAUUCAUCAUACUGGAAUCCUCUCUUCUUGUGUGGUUUAGUCAACUUUGUUUUCCUGUAUGCUACAGUUCGGGUCUAGAUCGAAGUCGGCUGAGCUGUUGGGUGGCUCUGAAGAUGUGUUUGUGUUAGAGAUUAGUUUACAUGCAAAGUAAGUUCUUUAAGAAAAGUAUUACUGCGCACCACUCCAAUUUGUUCCUUGAACUGAUAAGAUCUGGUCCAGUAGUACUGCUGCAAAUAUGAGGCAAGACGUUCUGCCUGUUUCUAUUAUCCCGCACAAUAAACAAUAUGUGUGUACUCACCAUAGUGGUGAAGCACAUACACUUCAACACUUCCGCUUCGGUACAACCCCCCUAAACACAAGAAGGGCUGAGAUUAAUCCGUACCCUUUCAUACUAAGGGGCAUGAUGGCCAUAUUUAAAUAAGUUUUUUUUUGAGUAACCGUUGUACCUAGCGUACGAACGCCUAACCGGCCAUGGGUGCGCGGCGGCCAGCCCAUUUAAUCCUUCUUUUACUGGCAACCCAGUAACAUCGAAAAAUUAUGCACGCAACGUGAUUCGAACUUGGAACUUCCGAUUCUAAUACACAAUGCAGUCACCAAUCGGGACAACUUACAUUGGUGUGUGGUUUCCAUUUUUCUGCUUCUUGUACACAACGAAGUAGCAUGCUUGGCCGGCCCAACAGGCCCGACGGCGUGUCGGCCCAUGGCCGCCGCAUUUUUAAUCCAUUUUAUUUUUUCGUUCUUUCAUUUUUUCCUUUCUUGAGUUUAUCUUUUUUCGUGCACAAUUUUCAGCAACUGUUGGGAAUUUGUUAGCAAUUUUCAUAAAAUUGUAAAUAUUUUAACAUUUUCAUAAAUAAUUUGAAAUUCCAAAAUUGUUGAUAAAUUAAAAAUAAAUGGUUAGAACAUAAAAAUUUGUUCAGGUUGGUUCAUAAUUAUCGAAAUUUCAUACAUGAAAUAAAAGAAGCAUUGAAUUUAAGAAAACUACGUGCUCACGGAUGCAAUCGUCUGGACUAGUCCUGCAACCUAUUCUUAACUGGUGUUUUUUUGCACUAUUGAUAAAUGACCCUAACUUUUUGCGGUAGCCUGGCAUGGACAUAAUAGGCAUCCAUGCCUGAUUCAAAUGAGUUGCGACACUGUUGGCAUGUUGCAACACGUGUGGCCAUUAUAUAGGAUGUUAUUCACCGAAAUAAUUAAAAAAUAUCAGAAACUUGUCUUAUGAAAGUACUUGUUGGCAUGGUGGCAUGAAAUGGUGAUACAUGGUGAUGGAAAAAAAUAGUUCAUUUGACGGAUGUCGAAAAAUGAGGUGUUCACGAAUAGACCCGAACACCCACUGUCUAACAUGUUUUUUUUUGUACACCCAGUGCAUGCCCAUGGUAGGCAUAUAUGUCUGAUUUGAAUGAAUUCGGGCACCGUUUGCAUGUUGCAAUAUGCCCGGCCAUUUAUCAGCCCUUUUUCACCGAGAAAACUUCAGAAAAUACAAAGCUUGUCGAAAACGGGAACAUCCUGGCAUGAUGGCAUGAAUUGGUGAUACAAGGUGAUGGGGAAAAAUUGAGGCCAUCUGGCGGAUGCAAAAUAUAAGGUGUUCACAAACAGACCCUUCUGGCCACCCGAACACCCUCUGUAUAACAUGGUUUUUGUUGUACAUGUGAUGAAUGACCCUAGAUUUUUCUACCAAUGGUGUGUGUGCCCAUAGUAGGCAUCCAUGCCUGGUUUGAAUGAAUUCGGACACCGUUUGCACGUUGCGACGCAUUUGGCUAUUUAUCGGCCUUUUCACCGAGAAAACCCCAGAAAAUACAUAACUUUUCGAAAGCGAAAAAAACCUGACAUGGUGGCAUGAAUUGGUGAUACAAGGUGAUGGAAAAAAAGUUCCUCGAUUUUCAAAAAGCUAAUGAAUUUUUAAAAAAUCAUGAGAUUUUAAAAAAUUUCAGGAAAUUUGGAACAAAAAUGAUCACAGAGAUUUGAAAAGAAAAACAAAAAUUAAAAAGCUGCAGGGAUUUGUAAAUUCACGAAUUUGACUAAAAAGGAAAAAAGGAAAAAAGAAACUAAAACCGGAAAAAAAGGAAAAUAAAUAAAUAAAUGACCGGCGAACAAAAAGUAAAAAAAAGUACACUGUACAACAAUAUGUAGGCUUCCCAGUUGGUUGUCGCAGGUAGUUGUGAACAUUGAGGUUUUUUGUUCGAAUCCCAUGUGGGCAUCCCUUUUUUGAACUCUAGGAAAAAAAAGUGUAGCAAAAGGAAAGUGUAAAAUGGGCCGGCCCACGAUGGAGGAGAGGCGGUCAGGACGUGCAAACGCGUACGUAUACGUCCCGAGACCCAUACAGAGGUGGGUAUACGUUCCUCUCAAAAGACCAUUAUGCCCUUAUACGUUUUGUGGAGGGGGGUUGUACCGAAGCGGGACUCACACUUCAAAUCAUCCAUUCUCUUGUUCCCCAAAAUAAAUUCAUUCGUUCUAACCAUUAGCCAUAUGAUUGUACAGAUAGACCAUAUAAAUGGGAUUCUUUCUGUAAAUAGAAAUCAACCUGAUUUGAUUAUGUUUCAUGUCCAUAAUAGUUUUCUCUUGGUAGAAAAAACAUAAACAUGUACAUACAGAUUAUAUUUCUGCUCAUUGCAAGAGGAUAUGAGGAUUUCUACUAUUAUACCGACAGAAUGAUAGCAUCACCUCAAGCAUGUAACCGUGGGAGUUAGUCCUUCAUUAAUGAUUUGGUAAGUUGUCCAUACUGCCUCGAGGGGGGAAGUUUUUAUCACUGCUUUUUGGUUGUAUUUAUGUAAGAGGCAUGGAGGGAGCUGGAACUAAUUUGUGAUUUCUCCUGGCCAUUUUUUUCUUCUAAAAAGAGAAAGUUUUCCGGUGAUCAAACAUUGUAGAUCAGAAAUGUUCUUCAUCGAUGCCCAUCCCAAUUGCUAACAAUUCUUUUGCACACUCAGGUUUGUGCUUUUCAGUGGUAAUUUACUAAACAUACUUUGGGUUAUGAUCCUUUGACAUACACUUAUGCCCUCCCCUACACAUUAUUUUUAGGUUGCCAAAUAUAGUACGAAGGAACUAUAGCAAGUGAAUUGUCGAGUUUGCCAAGCAUAAUGGCACACCUAAUUUUGGCAGAUCAUAUAAAGAGGAUAUCGAGCAAAGAUGCUUUGAGAUUUACCCAUGACUAUAUGCGGUUCCUAUAAACUCCUGUUGCAUGUUUAAUGAUUGCCACAAUAGUUUCUUUUAAUGCACCAGAGAAUUAUAUUUUUUGUAUCAGGUAAAUAAUUCUUUUCUCACUGUUAUUUUUCCAGAUCAAGAUCGAGAUAUAGACAAGGGGUAAUGGCAGCUCGUGCAGUGGCAGAGUGCUGGGGAGGCUGCCGGUGUCGUUGCUGAGAGCUGGGGAGGCUGCUGGUGCCAUGGCCGAGCGAUUGGGCGAGCUGCCGUGGUGGAUGUGGGAGAGCGACCAGUAAGGCAAGACAGAGUUGUGCUGUUGGUUAGGUCCAUGGCGAGGUGCCACGAGAUGGCAUCAGAUUUAUUGGAGGAUAUACAUGAUGACUAGGGUUGAGAAUAAUAUUGCUACUCCUGCAAUUUUGAAUCAUGUGUGAGAGGAUAGAACAGAGAAAAGGAAUAUGAGGCAAUUUUGUUUGCUAUAUGCUUUGUGUGCCGAUGCUUUUGUACGGAGAGAGACACUUCAUGUGAUGUUGCUAUGUGGCCUUCUAUGCUCUGAUGUGUGCUAACUUUGUACAAGGGACAUUCAUAUAUUGGAAUUCAAAU
rnacentral:lncRNA from 1 species